UUUUAAUCCAACAUGGAGGUCGCAAACUUAAUUCAUCGAUAUGAACUCUCCGAAUAAAUGACGCUGUUAUCCCUUAGGUAACUUAAACUUAAAAUCCAUAAAAAAGGAUCAAAAAAACAAAAAUUUUUGAAAAAUAAAAUUAAAAGUUAAAAAAAUUUUAAUGUCACCCCAACAAAAUUUAAAUAAAAUUUACAAAAAAAAUAUGAACAAAAAAAAUUAUAAAAAAAAUAAAUAAAGUUCUAAAGGGUCUUCUCGUCCUAUAAAAAAAUUUCAGCUUUUUAACUAAAAAAUAAAAUUCUUAAAAUUUAAUUAAGAAAGAAUAUAUCUCAUCCGACCAUUCAUACCAGCCUUCAAUUAAAAGACAAAUUAUUAUGCUACCUUUGUACAAUCAAUAUAUUGCAGCCAUUUAAAUAAUCAUUGGGCAGGCCAAAUCUAAAAUUAUAAUCUAUAAAACAUGUUUUUG
rnacentral:rRNA from 1 species